GACGAACGCUGGCGGCGUGCUUAACACAUGCAAGUCGAGCGGUAAGGCCCUUUCGGGGGUACACGAGCGGCGAACGGGUGAGUAACACGUGGGUGACCUGCCCUUAGCUCUGGGAUAAGCCUGGGAAACUGGGUCUAAUACCGGAUAUGACUCCAUGACGCAUGUUGUGGGGUGGAAAGCCUUGUGCGGCUAGGGAUGGGCCCGCGGCCUAUCAGCUUGUUGGUGGGGUGAUGGCCACCAAGGCGACGACGGGUAGCCGGCCUGAGAGGGCGACCGGCCACACUGGGACUGAGACACGGCCCAGACUCCUACGGGAGGCAGCAGUGGGGAAUCUUGCGCAAUGGGCGAAAGCCUGACGCAGCGACGCCGCGUGGGGAUGACGGCCUCG
rnacentral:rRNA from 1 species